rnacentral:lncRNA from 1 species
GAUACACAAAUGCAAAUCAUUAUGGAGAAUUUCCAUUUGGUAUCUAAGAGAGAUGAAAAUGUUUGCAAUUUCCUAGAAGGAGGAUUAUUAAUAGGAGGAUGUGACAACAAACUAAUUUAUAGACAUUAUUCAACAUUAUAUUUUCUCUUCUGUGUGGAUUCUUCAGAAAGUAAACUUGGCAUUUUUAGAUCUAAUUCAAAACAAAGUCAGUUGACUA